GAGUGAGGGGGUGACUAGUGGCAGAGUGAGGGAGGUGGUGACUGUCACUAACAGUCACCACCUCCCUCAUUCUGUCACUAGUCACCACCUCCCUCACUCUGUCACUGGCCACCCACUCCCUCCCUCACUC